rnacentral:lncRNA from 1 species
CUAUUGCGAGUAAGAUAGGUUACAUACCCCCAACCAGGUCUGGUCAGGGAAGAAAGUUACAUGUUAGAAUUACCUAUUAGUUACUUUUCGGGUAUGAUAACUACCACCCUGGAUGGUUAGUCCGCCAUACAGAAAGGGCGUAGUUCAUACACCAUGUCUGACGAAACUGCUCAACGUAUUCUGCUGCUUGGCGCGGUUUACUUUUCACUCUUUCCUGUGUCUUAAACCAGGCAUUCCUCCCAUAAUCUACUAGUUGCAACCACAUCCUAUGAAACACUUGCUCCUGUUCCCAGAAAAUCCCGUUAAAUGCUGCGUCAUUCCUCUCAAUCCACAGCACCCACAUGAUAAUCCCUCGCAUCAGUAACCAGAUGCGACAGAACUCUUAAAUCUUCCUGGGAUCCUAUAUGCGAUGACACAAUGUUUCCACGAUGGAGCAAAUCGUGUGAGCCUUAAUCCUUGAUUAGUACCGUCCGCAGUGCCCGAUUGUGCCCUGUGCCCAAUCUCGCUGUGGUUCGCAUCGUGUGCAUGGAUGCUGAGCGCAUGUCUUGGCCUCGCAUUUUGUUCCGAGUUAGGGGUGAGGAGCUGAAGGAGAC